rnacentral:lncRNA from 1 species
AGUUAUGCUACGGACCAUUUAAAAUUAAUUACGAUUUUCGAUUCAUUCAAUUAUAUUUCAUUAAAAAUACCCCUCUAGAAAAUUCUUUGGAGACGCCUAUUUAAUCGCCUAGGUGCCUAUUUUCGCAGCGAAGCAAGAGGAAAGCACCGCGCAUGUUUCUAUCGGAUCGAUACGAAUCGAUUUCCGAUAACAUUGAACAGCGGUUGGUCAGGAAACGGCUCGAAGGGCGGAUGGCGCGCCGCUAGUAAGGUUAUUCCCACUUUUAAGUGACGGGAUUGAAACAAAUUUUCGAUGGAAAUCAAAUAAUUAGAAGGAAAUCAAGCGUCAGCUAAUCCCAUCUACAAAACUAGAUAACCAAAGUUAAACAUCUCUUUGGACUUCUUCACAUAACAGAAGUGGAUAUUCCGGCGUGCCUGCCUUGUUUCAAUCCCGUAACUUAGUUAUUUAGUCACACAACGUGACUCUAUCACGUUGAUUAUGUACUAACUAGUUAGAUUGCUAGCCACUCUGUGAUGGUUUAUCCCUAGAGUGGGCUGUUUUUGUUGGAUAAUACACCAUACCGGAUUUUAUUACAACCAGCAUCUUCACCCAGGACCUUGCAGUAGGACUUACUCACCACCGCAGCCAACCAUUUUAUCGUGCCAAAAGGGAAUUUCCUACGGAAUUCAUCUCUAUGGACUUUCAACCCUACUUUUAACCGACUGUUGUGUAAAAGCUAAGUUUAUUUACUUUUUCUGUAUUUACUUUUGGGUAAGAUAUAUUUGCUACAUUGUAAACUUUUCGUAUGCAUACGAUUAGGAAGAGUACAUAUAUUUUCGUGAUAGAUAGGGUUUUAGGUUGUUGUUUUUUUUUUUCUUUUUGAUUCAGUAUAAGUAGGAGUUAGUUAAAAUAAAUAAAAUCAGGUCUUGUUUAAUAAUCAUAAAUAAUUGUAUCUUAAAAUUUAAUAGGGAAUCGGGUUGUAAAAUUUUGUCGCGGAUUUUAAAUAGGGAAUACGUCUCGUAGGUUUUUUUUGUAAAAUAUAUAAAGAGUCACUGACCAACUCAUUUAUAUAGACCUUUUUGCUAUUCCAACGGACUUUUGAUUUGGAUUUUGAUUUUAAUACUUUUGCUUGGCCAGUGAUAGUGGAUAAUUGCUUGUUGAGUGGCCUUUGCGGUCCUAUUUUAUCUUUUCCCCAUCCACUAUCACUGUUAUUACGUUGCGUUAUAUGUAAAGUGUUAUUAUUUAAUAUUUAUUAUUAAUAUAUUUGUAUGUAUUAA